GCGUGCGUGGCCGAGUGGGUAACACGCGCGGCUGGCAAGCGAGAGGCGUGAGUUCGACCCCCGCCACCCCA